rnacentral:rRNA from 1 species
AGUGAACGCUGGCGGUAGGCCUAACACAUGCAAGUCGAACGGCAGCACAGUAAGAGCUUGCUCUUACGGGUGGCGAGUGGCGGACGGGUGAGGAAUACAUCGGAAUCUACUUUUUCGUGGGGGAUAACGUCGGGAAACUUACGCUAAUACCGCAUACGACCUACGGGUGAAAGCAGGGGAUCUUCGGACCUUGCGCGAUUGAAUGAGCCGAUGUCGGAUUAGCUAGUUGGCGGGGUAAAGGCCCACCAAGGCGACGAUCCGUAGCUGGUCUGAGAGGAUGAUCAGCCACACUGGAACUGAGACACGGUCCAGACUCCUACGGGAGGCAGCAGUGGGGAAUAUUGGGCAAUGGGCGCAAGCCUGAUCCAGCCAUACCGCGUGGGUGAAGAAGGCCUUCGGGUUGUAAAGCCCUGUUGUUGGGAAAGAAAAGCAGCAGGUUAAUACCCCGCUGUUCUGACGGUACCCAAAGAAUAAGCACCGGCUAACUUCGUG